AGGCAGAAAAUGCUGAAUCCUUUCACAAGACCUAGACAGAGAAAAUCAAGUGGACCCUUUUCAUUUUACCUUAUGCGCGCCAUCCAGAGAAAGAUUUGACAGAAAUAUCACGAACCGCACUCUUUGCCCAUAUGGUAAAAAGGGAACCUAGACUGGCAUCUGUCAAAGCUGGAAGGCAGAGGUCUUUACCAUCUGCCGCCUGCAGUCUGCACCUACAAAUCCGUGCGUACAAACAAGGUGGUGGAGUCAUGUUAUCUGUUAUCAUUACUGCACAUCAACACUGGAGCCAGCAACUGCCAGGUGAACCUAAUGGUAGAUGCGAAACAAGAUCAUUAUGCGAAAACCGACGAACGGCUAACCUUCACCCACUCUCCCACCAUCAUCACUCAAGACCGCGGUUCUUUCACACUUUUUCCCGACAACACUUCGUCCGCAUCUCGAUGCAGGUUCACGUCUUCCCGUCUUCAAACCCACUGCUAAACCGCUGUGGUCAAACAGGAAGACAUUGUGCGCGCGUGUGUGGUCCAGGGUCUGCAGACAAGGUAAGAAGGCUAACAGAGUGAUUAUGUGUGUGUUUCUCGAGCAUGCGCAUAAAUUAUCAGCACCUGGCAACAGAACUACAAAGACAAAAAGCAGAAAAACAGUCCAAUGUAUUUAAAGAAACACCCCAAUAAAAUUAUGUAGAUAUGUCCUAGACCU